UCCAUGACGACCAGAGGGUCUCAUGUUGGUUACAAGUGUAACUCGCACCGCAGAAAAGAACAACUUGUUUUGUCUUCGCGGAGUACCGUUGAAUAAUUACAGUCAUGAUUACGUCAAUGAAUCAAUCCGUAAUUACCACUUGAGAUGAAGCUUUUAAAGUGCAUGAUCCACUCAAAUAAUUCUAAUGAAACACAGUAAUGAAUAAUUGAAUUGUUAAUCACAGGGCACUUUUUAAGACAAAGUUCUUUCCGGUGAGUUGAUUCAAGCCGAUGUCCUGUCCAUGUUCGGUGUCGGCUGCUCGAUGCUGCAUCCACGCGUGUUGCAUCGUGAGUAACGUGAAUGUUGUCAUGUUCACGUAUCAAACGAUAAGUCAAUAAAGUAAAAUGGGUCCAUAUAUGGGUCAUAAAAUGUAUAAAUAUAAGUAUCAUGUCCAGCCCACGAUGGGUCAACCACGUAAUAAUAGUUAAACUAUUGUUACAAUAUUUCCAUAUCAAACUUCUCAGCCAAUCGGGUCCUUCAGAUGAGUUCACACCUUCCAGCUUGAAGGUACCGAUUAGCUCAGGGGUCCCCAAACUACGGCCCGCGGGCCGCAUACGGCCCGCCUCCACAUUUGACCCGGCCCCCUGAACAAUAUAGAGACGGAAAAAAGGCUAAUGGUUAUGGUAAAAUGGUUGUGUCAUACAAGUAAUUAAGACUGCUCGACGGAUCGCGGUCCCUUUAAAUGUUCUGUUGUUGUUGAUGACGUAGAGCCCGUUGAUGGGGAGCAUUACAGGGCUGCGCCAUCUUGUUUUUCAUCCGUUGUGAAAAAUAAACGAGACACACGCUUGUUCUCAACUUUCUCUGUGGAAUGCAACUUCCACAAUAAUGGCAAAACGGUGUGGUAAGAGAAAAAUUGAUUCAGAACGCAGGGUAUUUAACCCGCAGUGGACACAUGAUUACUUUUUUGUUCAGUUGAAAGAAAAGGCUGUUUGUCUCGUCUGUCAAGAGACGGUGGCGGUAUUCAAAGAAUACAACCUGCGCCGACAUUAUGAAUCCCGUCACAAAGACAAGUAUGCUAGCCUGCACGGCCAAAUGCGAGCAGAAAAAAUGUCUAAGCUAAAAACUGGACUGUUCGCUCAGCAGACUACAUUUGUACGGCAAACUCGGCUGAACCAAGCAUCAGUUCGGGCCGGCUUCCGUGUUGCUCGGCUGAUAGCGAGCUGCGGUAAAUCUUUCACUGAAGGAGAGUUUGUCAAGAAAUGUUUGAAUGUUGUCGUGGAGGAGGUCUGUCCCGAGAAGAAAGAUGUCUUUAAUGCCGUGAGUCUGUCGGCAAGUACAAUUACCCGACGUGUUGAAGAAAUCGGGGGUAAUGUGUAUGCCCAGCUGCAGCAGAAGACUAAAGAUUUUCAGGUUUUUCAUUAGCACUGGAUGAGAGCACGGACGUGCAGGACACCGCGGAGCUUCUUAUUUUUAUUCGUGGAGUUAACGCAAACUUUGAGAAGUGCGAGGAGCUGGCAGCCCUACAAAGCAUGAAAGGGACUACAACUGGGGAGGAUAUUUUCGACAAAGUAUGUCAAACCAUGCAACAGUUGGAUCUGGACUGGGCAAAGCUUGCCAGCAUCACGACUGACGGGGCGCCUAGUAUGGUGGGCGCGUCUCGGGGUUUAAUAGGACGCAUGAACCGGGAGAUGGAGGAACGGGGUCUCACCGCCCUGCUACAAGUACACUGCCUAAUUCACCAGCAAGCGCUGUGCUGCAAAGUGUUGAAGUGGGAUUCUGUCAUGAAGGUUGUGGUAUUGUGCAUAAACUUCAUCAGAGCUAAUGGACUUAAACACAGGCAGUUCCAACAAUUCCUGUCUGAACUGGAGUCUGUGUGCUGUACCACACAGAGAUCCGAUGGUUGAGCCGCGGCAAAGUUCUGAGGCCUUUUUACGAGCUGCUACCUGACGUUAACGCAUUUCUUCAGUCGAAAGGCAAAACAGUCCCAGAGCUGAUCGACCCAGCAUGGAAAUGGCGCCUCGCAUUUUUUACAGACGUGACAGAUCUGCUGAACGGCCUUAACUUGCAGCUACAAGGAAGGGGUAGACUCAUUUGCGACAUGUAUUCCCACAUGAAAGGAUUUGAGUGAAACUACGGCUGGUUUUGGAACAAGUGAAAAAGCACAACUUCACCCAUCUCCCUGCUACCCAAAGCUUUUCUCCAGAGAAGCCAUCUGUCGCGUUCCCAGGUGAAAAGUGUGUGGAAGCACUGGAAAUGCUGAAGGCGGAGUUCGGUGUACGAUUCCGUGAACUACAUGUUCAUGCAAAAGAAAUCCGUCUUUUUCAGAACCCUUCUGUUGCCGACAUCGAUGAAGCCCAGCCUUCGUAUCAGUUUGAGCUGGCCGAGUUACAGAACUGUGAUGUUCUGAAAGACGCAUUCAAGCCCAACAGUCUCAUUGACUUCUAUGCCGCCCUCCCAAAUGACACCUACCCUAACAUAAAACAACACGCAAUGAAGAUGUCCACACUCUUUGGCAGCACGUAUAUCUGCGAGCAAACCUUUUCACGCAUGAUACUCCUGAAAACUCCAACGAGAUCAAGAUUGACAGAUGAACAUUUGCAUCAGUGUUUGAGACUGGCUGUGACUAGAAUGGAACCGGACAUUCAACUUCUCUCCAGCCAGACGCAGGCCCACAGUUCACACUGAUGAACACACAGUACAUAGAGGGAAGUUGAUGAGAGGGAGCCUACAGUGGUGUCUACUGGGCUAGCCUAUGGAACCUACAAAGAACACAAGAACUUUGAGAGACAUUUGAGAUUCUGCUGUGACAAGUGAAGUUUACCUUUUAUCUAGGAUUGUGCAUGGCACAGCAAAACUCUCUGUGAAGAACCCAGAGAGGGUUAUUUGAUCUCAGAAAGGGUUAUUAAUAUUUGGAUAUGUGUGGUGCGCUGGAGUGUCAGCAUGUUUUCUGGAAAACAAUAAAUGAUUACAUUUGGGACCCCUG